rnacentral:rRNA from 1 species
GCAUAACACAUGCAAGUCGAACGGUAGUAUAUCUUCGGAUAUAUGAGAGUGGCGAACGGGUGAGUAACACGUAAGAAUCUACCUUUGGGACGGGGAUAACUUCUGGAAACGGAUGCUAAUACCCGAUACGCUGUGGAGUGAAAGAAUUUCGCCCAAGGAUGAUCUUGCGUCUGAUUAGCUAGUUGGUAGGGUAACGGCCUACCAAGGCAACGAUCAGUAGCUGGUCUGAGAGGAUGGACAGCCACAUUGGAACUGAGACACGGUCCAAACUCCUACGGGAGGCAGCAGUGGGGAAUUUUCCGCAAUGGACGAAAGUCUGACGGAGCGACGCUGCGUGAAGGAUGAAGGCCUGCGGGUUGUAAACUUCUUUUCUCGAAGAAGAAUCAAUGACGGUAUUCGAGGAAUAAGCAUCGGCUAACUCUGUGCCAGCAGCCGCGGUAAGACAGAGGAUGCAAGUGUUAUUCGGAUUGAUUGGGCGUAAAGCAUCUGUAGGCGGU